rnacentral:rRNA from 1 species
CCUACGUGUGGCAGCAGUGAGGAAUAUUGGUCAAUGGGCGCGAGCCUGAACCAGCCAAGUAGCGUGAGGGAAGACGGUCCUACGGGUUGUAAACCUCUUUUAUAAAGGAACAAAGUGCGCCACGUGUGCCGUUUUGUAUGUACUUUAUGAAUAAGCAUCGGUUAACUCGGGGCCAGAAGCCGCGGUAAUACGGAGGGUCUGAGCGUUUUCCGGAUUUAUUGGGUUUAAAGGGGUCGUAGAUGGGUUGGAAAGUCAGUUGUGAAAGUUUGCGGUUCAACCGUAAAAUUGCUAUUGACACUGGCAGUCUUGAGUGCAGUUGAGGUAGGCGGAAUUCGUGGUGUAGCGGUGAAAUGCUUAGAUAUCACGAAGAACUCCGAUUGCGAAGGCAGCUUACUAGACUGCCACUGACAUUGAUGCUCGAAAGUGUGGGUAUCAAACAGGAUUAGAUACCCCUGUAGUC